UACGUGGGUGGCAAGCGUUUGUCCGGAAUUAUUGGGCGUAAAGCGCGCGCAGGCGGCCUCUUAAGUCUGAUGUGAAAGCCCCCCGGCUCAACCGGGGAGGGCCAUUGGAAACUGGGAGGCUUGAGUAUAGGAGAGAAGAGUGGAAUUCCACGUGUAGCGGUGAAAUGCGUAGAGAUGUGGAGGAACACCAGUGGCGAAGGCGACUCUUUGGCCUAUAACUGACGCUGAGGCGCGAAAGCGUGGGGAGCAAACAGG
rnacentral:rRNA from 1 species